CUUCAACAAAGAGGAACAAAUUUUGUAAAGAAAUUGAUGGUUGAACUGAUGAAAAUAUCGAUUAAAUUUUUUAUUUUAUUUUUCAUUUUUAUUUGAAGAAGUGAAUAUUAAUAAAUUAAUAUUUUUUAUUUUUAAAAAAUAUUUAAAAUUAUAUAAAAAAAUGAUUCAAAUAAAAGAUGAAAAAUAAUAAAAAAUGCACUCGUCGGUUGGCUUCAUCGGUAUGUUUAUCGUUUCCCCUAGCACCGUCCAAUUCGUAAUUCAUCCGUUUACUUCUACCCCUAGUUCUAAAAUCCUCUCUUCGCAUUGUCUCCACUCUCUUCACUCUGACGAUCGACGCCGACGCCAUCUCCAUACCGUCGCUGAUCGAGCCUCAUGUUGCUCCACGCCUUCGCAGCUCCUGUUGCUCCGUCGCAGCUCGUGCCCCUCCGUCGCAGGUAGACGUCCACCUCCACACUCCGCCCACUGUACGCCGCAGGUAAUUUGAGGUCAUGGUGGGCUGGCAAAGACAAGUACAAUUUGUACUUCGUCGCUUUGGGAAAAGAGUAGAAUAUAAUUACAAUGCAUUUGCCAGCUUUUCUUCGGUUCGCUUGGAAUCCUCCACUUUUACAAGUGAGUUACCUUAUUUGCAGAGACUAUGGAGACCAACUUCUGCAAACAUUUCAAGGCCUUUGUAUCAAUAUUUUCAACAAUUGGGAAUUUCUAGUUCUAGGAAGUUACUAGCAGAUUUGUCUGAAGAAUCGGCCAUCCCAUCUCCAUUGACUCCUGUGUUGGCAUUAAACAGUGGAAAAAGUGAUGGCCAGAACCAGAAAGCAGUCUCGAAACCUUCCAAGGUUCAAGCUGUCUUAAAGGGCAUUAAACAGAGUCCAAAGAAGGUCAACUUGGUUGCUGCUUUAGUUCGUGGCAUGCGAGUUGAAGAUGCAUUGUUGCAGUUACAAGUGACAGUAAAGCGAGCUGCAAAGACUGUAUAUCAGGUUAUUCACUCAGCCCGAGCAAACGCAACACAUAACUAUGGGCUGGAUCCCGAUCGUCUCCUAGUUGCUGAGUCAUUUGUUGGGAAAGGAUUAUUUAAAAAGAGAGUUUCCUACCAUGCUAAAGGAAAAUGUGGAAUCAAAGUGAGACCUGAGUGCCGACUGACAGUAGUAGUAAGGGAGAUGACCGCUGAAGAGGAGGCUGAGAUAGCCAGACUCAGGGUCCACAAUUUCCGCAAGCUCACUAAGCGAGAAAGGCGACUUGUACCUCAUAAGCUUAUUGAGACGACUCCAAUCUGGAAUCGCAAGGGCAAAGCUCGUGAACCGAGAGGCAUGGCUGCAUGAGCCAGCUUCCCUCCCAUGUUUCAGAAUCUUACAGAGAGUUUUGUAGAAGUGCGGAGAGAUCUCUUCCAAUGCCUGCAUUCCAGUAGAAAUCAUCUUGUAGAAAUGGAGCAACCUUGUUUCAAUCUCAAAGCGGUGCAUGCAAAUGCAACUCUUGCUGCUUUAAACAACUAAUCGGAUGCGGAUAGACCAGUUGAUGGAGUCCAUCGAGCUUGGCCAAAAUUACAACUGCCUUUCACUUGAAGACCAUGAUAGCUUUCAGUGAAUGGAAUUAAUGGUGCAUCUGCUUGAAUUGUAUACGGUUGUUAAUUAAAAAAAUUGCAUAAAUCUUUCCUAUUUACUCA